rnacentral:rRNA from 1 species
GGCGUAAGCGCGCGUAGGCGGGUUUGAAGUCGGAUGUGAAAUCCCGGUGGAAUCCCCGAACUGCUUUUGAACUGGAGACCUUGAGUAUCGUAAAAGGGAGGUGGAAUUCCCGGUGUAGCGGUGAAAUGCUUAAAUAUUGGAAGGAACACCAUUGGCGAAGGCAGCUUCCUGGCCUUAAACUGACCCUGAGGCACGAAAGCGUGGGGAGCAAACAGGAUUAAAUACCCUGGUAGUCCACGCCGUAAACAAUGAUUGCUAGCCGUUGGGGUUUUUAUGCCCUUGUGGCCCAACUUAACCCUUUAACCUUCCCCCCGGGGGAGUACGCCCCCAAAAUUAAAACUCAAAAAAAUUGACGG